rnacentral:snRNA from 1 species
AGAUGUGGGAACAUUCUGGUUGUGACCUCUGUCACCCCACUGAUUGCCAGGCUGACUUAAGUUCAGCUGGCUGGUUAGGCUGCUGGCCUCGUCCUCCUGUACCACUCCAGUGUCCCUCACAAAGCUUCAUGCUCAUUCAAAGAGGACCCUCUUCCCCAACAGAUACCUAGCCCUCCUUUUCAAUG